GAGUCGUAACAAGGUCUCCGUUGGUGAACCAGCGGAGGGAUCAUUACAGAGUUGCAAAACUCCCAAACCAUCGCGAACUUACCGUACCGUUGCUUCGGCGAGGGGCUCCGGGGAGGAGCCGCGGCCCUAACGGGUGCUCGCCGCAAGCCCAACAACUCUGAAUUCUUGGUAUCUCUGAGUAUAACAUACAAAUAAGUUAAAA
rnacentral:misc_RNA from 1 species